CGCAAUGGGCGAAAGCCUGACGGAGCAAUACCGCGUGAGGGAGGAAGGCUCUUGGGUUGUAAACCUCAAAACUUAGGGAAGAAGAAAAUGACGGUACCUAAUGUAAGCAUCGGCUAACUCCGUGCCAGCAGCCGCGGUAAUACGGAGGAUGCAAGCGUUAUCCGGAAUCAUUGGGCGUAAAGAGUCCGUAGGUGGCACUUCAAGUCUGCUUUCAAAGACCGAAGCUCAACUUCGGAAAGGGGGUGGAAACUGAAGAGCUAGAGUAUAGUAGGGGUAGAGGGAAUUCCUAGUGUAGCGGUGAAAUGCGUAGAGAUUAGGAAGAACACCAGUGGCGAAGGCGCUCUACUGGGC
rnacentral:rRNA from 1 species